rnacentral:rRNA from 1 species
UGGGGAAUAUUGCACAAUGGGCGAAAGCCUGAUGCAGCAACGCCGCGUGAGUGAUGAAGGUCUUCGGAUUGUAAAGCUCUGUCUUUUGGGACGAUAAUGACGGUACCAAAGGAGGAAGCCACGGCUAACUACGUGCCAGCAGCCGCGGUAAUACGUAGGUGGCGAGCGUUGUCCGGAUUUACUGGGCGUAAAGGGUGCGUAGGCGGAUGUUUAAGUGAGAUGUGAAAUACCCGGGCUUAACUUGGGUGCUGCAUUUCAAACUGGAUAUCUAGAGUGCAGGAGAGGAGAAUGGAAUUCCUAGUGUAGCGGUGAAAUGCGUAGAGAUUAGGAAGAACACCAGUGGCGAAGGCGAUUCUCUGGACUGUAACCGACGCUGAGGCACGAAAGCGUGGGUAGCAAACAGGAUUAGAUACCCUGGUAGUCCACGCCGUAAACGAUGAGUACUAGGUGUAGGAGGUAUCGACCCCUUCUGUGCCGCAGUAAACACAUUAAGUACUCCGCCUGGGAAGUACGAUCGCAAGAUUAAAAC